AGGACGAACGCUGGCGGCGUGCUUAACACAUGCAAGUCGAACGGUGAAGCCCGUUUCGGGGGUGGAUCAGUGGCGAACGGGUGAGUAACACGUGAGCAACCUGCCCUUGACUCUGGGAUAACUUCGGGAAACCGGAGCUAAUACCGGAUAUGACACGCGGAGGCAUCUCCUGUGUGUGGAAAGAUUUAUUGGUCAAGGAUGGGCUCGCGGCCUAUCAGCUAGUUGGUGGGGUAAUGGCCUACCAAGGCGACGACGGGUA
rnacentral:rRNA from 1 species